CCCGCAUCUGUUGCAAUAGAUUGGGAUGACUUGUGGUUAGGGGUGAAAGGCCAAUCAAACUCGGAGAUAGCUGGUUCUCCGCGAAAUCUAUUUAGGUAGAGCGUCGACCGAAUACCCUCGGGGGUAGAGCACUGGAUGGGCUAUGGGGACUCACCGUCUUACUGAUCCUAACCAAACUCCGAAUACCGAGGAGUACUAGUCGGCAGACACACGGCGGGUGCUAACGUCCGUCGUGAAGAGGGAAACAACCCUGACCUCCAGCUAAGGUCCCCAAGUCAUGGCUAAGUGGGAAAGGAUGUGAGACUCCCAAAACAACCAGGAUGUUGGCUUAGAAGCAGCCAUCAUUUAAAGAAAGCGUAACAGCUCACUGGUCAAGCGCUCCUGCGCGGAAAAUGUAACGGGGCUUAAGUGAUACACCGAAGCUGCGGACUCGAAAGAGUGGUAGCGGAGCGUUCUGUAAGUCUGCGAAGGCAGCCUGUGAGGGCUGCUGGAGAUAUCAGAAGUGAGAAUGCUGACAUGAGUAGCGAUAAAGGGGGUGAGAGGCCCCCUCGCCGAAAGUCCAAGGGUUCCUGCGCAAUGCUAAUCAGCGCAGGGUAAGCCGGCCCCUAAGGCGAGGCCGAAAGGCGUAGUCGA
rnacentral:rRNA from 17 species